UGCUACAGCCGUGCUACCAUGAAUAAGCCCGAUCUCAUCUGAUCUCAGAAGCUAAGCAGGAUUGGGCCUAUUUAGUACUUGGAUGGGAGACCACGUAGGAAGACCAGGUGCUGUAGGCA
rnacentral:rRNA from 1 species